GUUUAAAUAGUUUAAGUAUUAAAAUAUUAAUUUGUGGAAUUAAUGAUAUAGAUUUUUUAAACU
rnacentral:tRNA from 1 species